GACGAACGCUGGCGGCGUGCCUAAUACAUGCAAGUAGAACGCUGAAGGAGGAGCUUGCUUCUCUGGAUGAGUUGCGAACGGGUGAGUAACGCGUAGGUAACCUGCCUGGUAGCGGGGGAUAACUAUUGGAAACGAUAGCUAAUACCGCAUAAGAGUAGAUGUCGCAUGACAUUUGCUUAAAAGGUGCAAUUGCAUCACUACCAGAUGGACCUGCGUUGUAUUAGCUAGUUGGUGAGGUAACGGCUCACCAAGGCAACGAUACAUAGCCGACCUGAGAGGGUGAUCGGCCACACUGGGACUGAGACACGGCCCAGACUCCUACGGGAGGCAGCAGUAGGGAAUCUUCGGCAAUGGACGGAAGUCUGACCGAGCAACGCCGCGUGAGUGAAGAAGGUUUUCGGAUCGUAAGCUCUGUUGUAAGAGAAGAACGAGUGUGAGAGUGGAAAGUUCACACUGUGACGGGAUCUUACCAGAAAGGGACGGCUAACUACGU
rnacentral:rRNA from 1 species